rnacentral:rRNA from 1 species
GUGUCAGCAGCCGCGGUAAUACGGAGGGAGCUAGCGUUGUUCGGAAUUACUGGGCGUAAAGCGCGCGUAGGCGGCUUAAUAAGUCAGGGGUGAAAUCCCGGGGCUCAACCCCGGAACUGCCCUUGAAACUGCUAAGCUAGAAUCCUGGAGAGGCGAGUGGAAUUCCGAGUGUAGAGGUGAAAUUCGUAGAUAUUCGGAAGAACACCAGUGGCGAAGGCGACUCGCUGGACAGGUAUUGACGCUGAGGUGCGAAAGCGUGGGGAGCAAACAGGAUUAGAUACCCCCGUAGUCC